CUCCAGCCUGGGCAACAGGGCGAGACCUGGAGUGCAGGCACAAUUAUGGCUCCCUGCAGCCUUGACCUCCCCAGGUUCAGGUGAUCCUCCCACCUCAGUUUUUCUAUUUUCAGUAGAGGCCUCCACCUCCCGGGUUCAAGAGAAUCGCUUGAGCCCCAGAGGCAAAGGUUUCAGUAAGCAGAGAUCGUGCCACUGCACUCUAGCUUGGGCUACAGAGUGAGACUCCAUCUCACACACACACACAAAAGAAAUGAAAACAACAAUUUGUACAUGAGUUCAGAACAGAAUUAUUUAUUUAUUCCCCAAACUAGAAACAAUCCAAAUGUCUAUCAACAGAUAAAUGGAUAAGCAAAUGAUGAUAUAAUUGCAUAAUGGAAUACCACUCAGCAAUGAAAAGGAACAAACCACUCAUACAACAACACAGAUGAGCCUCAGAAACGUGAUGCUAAGUGAAAGAAGCCAGACCAAAAAAAUUACAUGCUAUUAUUCCAUUUCUAUGAAAUUUCUGGAAAAGGCAAAAACCAUGCAAAGUAGAUCAGAGGUUGGCUGGGGGCAAGAGCAGAGACUGACUACAAAUAGGCCCAAGGGAACGUUUUGGGGUGAUGGAAGUUUUCUAAAAGUGGAUUAUGGUGAUGGCUACACAACAGUAUAAAUUAAAGGUCAUCCAAAU
rnacentral:lncRNA from 1 species